UACGGAGGAUCCGAGCGUUAUCCGGAUUUAUUGGGUUUAAAGGGUGCGUAGGCGGCCUAUUAAGUCAGGGGUGAAAGACGGCAGCUUAACUGUCGCAGUGCCUUUGAUACUGAUGGGCUUGAAUGUGGUUGAAGAUGGCGGAAUGAGACAAGUAGCGGUGAAAUGCAUAGAUAUGUCUCAGAACUCCGAUUGCGAAGGCAGCUGUCUAAGUCAUUAUUGACGCUGAUGCACGAAAGCGUGGGGAUCGAACAGG
rnacentral:rRNA from 1 species